AGAGCGAACGCUGGCGGCAGGCCUAACACAUGCAAGUCGAACGGACCCUUCGGGGUUAGUGGCGGACGGGUGAGUAACACGUGGGAACGUGCCUUUUGGUUCGGAAUAGCUCCUGGAAACGGGUGGUAAUGCCGAAUGUGCCCUUCGGGGGAAAGAUUUAUCGCCAUUAGAGCGGCCCGCGUCUGAUUAGCUAGUUGGUGAGGUAAUGGCUCACCAAGGCGACGAUCAGUAGCUGGUCUGAGGAGGGAUGAACCACGCCACAGUUCGGGACUGAGACCACCGGACCCAAACCUCCGUACGGGAGGCAGUCAGGUGGGGAAUUCUUGCGCACGUGGGACGAAAGGCCUAGGACCGCA
rnacentral:rRNA from 1 species